rnacentral:rRNA from 1 species
UACGUAGGUGGCAAGCGUUGUCCGGAAUUAUUGGGCGUAAAGCGCGCGCAGGCGGCCUCUUAAGUCUGAUGUGAAAGCCCCCGGCUCAACCGGGGAGGGCCAUUGGAAACUGGGAGGCUUGAGUAUAGGAGAGAAGAGUGGAAUUCCACGUGUAGCGGUGAAAUGCGUAGAGAUGUGGAGGAACACCAGUGGCGAAGGCGGUUCUCUAGUACGGUACUGACGCUGAGACGCGAAAGCGUGGGGAGCGAACAGG